rnacentral:rRNA from 1 species
GCAAGUCGAGCGGUAACAGGCAGCAAGCUUGCUUUCUUUGCUGACGAGCGGCGGACGGGUGAGUAACGCGUAGGAAUCUGCCUAGUAGUGGGGGACAACAUGUGGAAACGCAUGCUAAUACCGCAUACGCCCUACGGGGGAAAGUAGGGGAUCUUCGGACCUUACGCUAUUAGAUGAGCCUGCGUGAGAUUAGCUAGUUGGUGAGGUAAAGGCUCACCAAGGCGACGAUCUCUAGCUGGUCUGAGAGGAUGAUC